rnacentral:rRNA from 1 species
GCUUACGGCCAUACCAACCUGAAUGCGCCCGAUCUCGUCUGAUCUCGGAAGCUAAGUAGGGUCAGUCCUGGUUAGUACUUGGAUGGGAGACGGCCUAGUAAUACCAGGUGCUGUAAGGU